AGAAUACCAGAGGAGCUAACCUUAGAUGCCUUACUUGAAAUGAAUGAAUCAAAGGUGAAAGAAACGAUGAAGAGAUGUGGUGCCAGAGAUGAGGAGUGCUCCAGACUCAAUGGGGCACUGAGCUGUUUAAGGAAGGUGACUGAAUCAGGUGGGGAGUUAAAAGAUGAUGUGCUGACGAAUCUUUCUGAAGUACGCCGAGAGAACAGCUCUACAAACAUGACUGAGUCCCCCUGCUCCUCUGCACCCACAUGGACUCACAGUGCACUGAGCCUUCCCAAGGGCAACAGCCAGCAGGCGCGAUCGGUGUCAGUGUCUACAAUCCCAUCUUCAGAUUCUCUUGCCUCGAGUCACGGACCUUCUAUCUAUGCAGAUAACCUCCUGGACCCUUUUGCCUUCCCUGCACACAGUGGAAGGUUAACACCAAGGACUCCUCAUAGCAUCACCGUCACUCCCCCAACCACUCCUCAAGCCAAGAGACGGCACAAGUUGAAGCCACCACGGACUCCUCCUCCCCCUUGCCGGAAAGUUUUUCAGCUGCUACCUAAUUUUCCAACCCUUACAAGGAGCAAGUCCCAUGAAUCGCAGCUGGGAAACAGGAUAGAUGAUGUUCCUCCAAUAAAGUUUGAACUCUCCCAAGGAUCCCCUCAAAUGGUACGAAGAGACUUUGGCUUAGCUGUAACACACAGGUUCUCUACAAAGUCUUGGUUAUCUCAGAUCUGCCAAGUUUGUCAGAAAAGUAUGAUGUUUGGGGUGAAGUGUAAGUACUGCAGAUUGAAAUGUCACAACAAGUGUACUAAAGAGGCACCUGCUUGCAGAAUAUCAUUCCUUCCCAUUACCAAAAUAAGGAGAACAGAGUCUGUCCCUUCUGAUAUCAACAAUCCAGUAGACAGACCAACAGAACCGCAGUUUGGAACUCUUCCCAAAGCACUCACUAAAAAGGAGCACCCACCAGCAAUAAACCAUCUGGACUCCAGCAGUAAUCCCUCUUCUACAACUUCUUCCACGCCAUCUUCUCCAGCACCUUUCCAGUCUUCCAACCCUCCCAGUGCAACACCUCCCCCAAACCUAUCUCCUAUGGGCCAGAGGGACGGACGAUUUAACUUCCCAGCUGCCUACUAUAUUCAGCAUAGACAACAGUUUAUCUUCCCAGAAAUUCCCAGUCCUGCACAAAUAGCACAGCCUCCAGAAACCGCUGCAGACACUGAUGCUAAAGAACAGACAGUUACAGAUGGAGUUAAACAUGAAGCAGAGGUGGAAGAACCUGAGAGUAAUAAAUCAGAACCUGAAGAUGAUGAGGAUGAAGUGGAAGAUUUGCCAAACAGAAGGCCGCACUUGCAAGGGAUGAUUUAUCGCAAACCCAGCCAGACCAGCGUCUACCUGCAGGAAUGGGACAUUCCCUUUGAACAGAUUGAACUGGGGGAUCCCAUUGGCCAAGGACGAUGGGGGAAGGUUCACAAGGGAAAAUGGCAUGGGGAAGUGGCCAUCAGGCUGCUGGAGAUAGAUGGGAACAAUCAGGAUCAUCUCAAGCUCUUUAAAAAGGAGGUGAUGAAUUACAGACAGACCCGGCAUGAGAACGUGGUGCUUUUCAUGGGAGCAUGCAUGAACCCUCCUCAUUUAGCAAUCAUUACUAGCUUCUGCAAAGGAAGGACACUUUAUUCAUUUGUAAGGGACCCCAAGAUAUCCCUGGAUAUUAACAAAACCAGGCAGAUAGCACAGGAGAUCAUUAAGGGCAUGGGCUAUCUUCAUGCAAAGGGGAUUGUACACAAGGAUCUGAAAUCCAAGAAUGUUUUUUAUGACAAUGGGAAAGUAGUGAUCACUGACUUUGGACUAUUUGGAAUUUCGGGUGUGGUUCAGGAAGGAAGGAGGGAGAAUGAAUUGAAGCUGCCUCAUGACUGGUUAUGCUACCUGGCCCCUGAAAUUGUUCGUGAGAUGGCCCCUGGGAAAGAUGAAGACAAGCUGCCUUUCUCCAAAGCUGCAGAUAUCUAUGCCUUUGGGACUGUGUGGUAUGAGCUCCAAGCAAGAGAAUGGCCCUUCAAGAACCAGCCUGCCGAGGCACUCAUCUGGCAAAUUGGAAGUGGUGAAGGAGUGAAACAAAUCCUUGCAACUAUUAGUUUGGGGAAAGAAAUCAAUGAAAUUCUCUCAGCAUGCUGGUCAUUUGAUCUUAGUGAGAGACCUAGCUUCACUGUCCUCAUGGAUAUGCUUGAAAAACUGCCAAAACUGAAUCGUCGGCUCUCCCACCCAGGGCACUUCUGGAAGUCUGCUGAGCCUAAAGCUUUGUAAACUUAAACCUGUCUUUUCUGCACACUGGGAGUCAGAGAGCAAGCGAUGCUGUCCUUAGAGCAGUGAGAAGGAUGUCAGUACCAAAGGCAGGUACAGAAUCUGGUCCAGCGUGAUAAGCUGCAGAGUGCAAUGAUCAGUGAGGGUCUCUUAUUCUUGGAUUUGAAAGGUUGUAGCUACUGGUGCAAUAAUGGGGUCCACCUUGCAUGCUUCCAUGUGUUGUAUCCUAACCAGCAACUUGGACAAUCACCUUCCAUUCAAAAAAAUGAAAACAAACCACGAAAUUAACCCACGGACAUAAUCAACAUUAUAUCUGAAUUCUCCUUUUCUGCCUUUUUCUGCUUGGCAUGGGCUGUUAGCUUGAAUAACAACUCCGGCCUACAAGAAGUUACUGUCUAACAACGCAGCACCUCUCCGUUCUGAGUCACAGCAGCAGGCUGCAGCUUCCUCCUGGCAGGCAGCUGGUGCUCUGCCCUGACCAACCAGGCAUUGGGGUUUGGCUGACACUGGCAUUUGUGGCCUGCAAGCCUCAGGAGGCAGAAGGGAGAAGUUUCCUAGCUGCUGUCUGAGGUGGUGGCUUUUGACUCAAGAUAACAGGUACAUUUUCCACAGGCAGAGCCAGCAACUGAACACUUCACUUGCAUUGCAAACCAACGCGACUUAAGGGCCAGAUUGAGUCAGUUCUCCUGUAGGGCCAGAUCCAGCCCUGCAUUGAACCAAGGGUCAGCUUUGUCAGGGGUGUACACAGCAGGUACAGUUCUUGCAUAGAAAGGAGGAUAGCCCUCGCUGUGCUCAGGGCAGAUUGCAGUCCCCUAGCCUACCUGGGAAUGCACCACCACCAGCUGCAUCCAAAACUGGGAUCAGCUACAGCACUGUGCAGAAGAGGAGGAAAGCAGAGAAACCCUUCAGUUCCUCAUUCUCCUUCACUUGCAAAUCCAGCGUUUUGAGUUCUGUGAUUUGCUUUUGUUUACAUUCCUAGUUCAGCAAAAUGCUCGACUUUGCAGUAGGAACUUUGCAGAACUGUAGGCAGCACUGCAAACAUGUGCCUUUUUGUAAAAGGUCUUUUUUCAUUCCUUUUUUGAAGAAAAUUUGAGGGAGAGAGGACGAGGACAGAGGCAGAUAUGCAGCAGGAGCCAGGGAGGUUCUUACUGCGUUCAGUGAGGACAAAUACACCUACAUGUCAUUUUCUCAGAAAGUCAGAGCCCUGCAUGCUGCACUGGAAAGAGUCUGCUGGAAGCCCUCACGUACUCAUGCUCCCUGCCUUGUUGCCACCUAGCACAUACGUGUAGGAAGGCAUUUUGAAGUGAAAAUGUUUCUAGCUACACUAACAGAUUAAGGGUGAAAGAAAAGACAUCUUUAUUCACUUUCUAUACGCUAUAAAGAGAAGCAGAUGUGUUUUUUGAAGCAAUUGCUGUACUUUGUCAGAAUGCCCCUUAUCCUUAGAAAAGUAUUUUUUUUCUCCAUUUCUAUUUCAAGGAAACCAAACAUCUGUCAGUCUUCUACCCACCUUAGGCUAGGUACUUUUAAAGCCUCCUGUUUUGCCAAUUUGAGCCAUAUGCUUUCAGUAAUGAGGUUAGCAUAAAUAAAUCAAAUGUUUGCUGCUUAAUUUUUAAAUGCUGCUGGGUGAUCUCACACCGCAUGAAACCAGAACCCAACCCAUUUUCUAUGACUGUAGCUUUGUAGGGGAGAAAAAAAAAACAACCACAAUGAAAAACCAACAGUAAAUAAAUAAUUCUUUUCCCCUCCCUUCUCCUUUCCUUCCCCACUCUUUUCAGCAUUAACAGUAGCAAAGUUGUCCUGCGCUUUGAGAGAUUUGGCUUGGGAAUCCUGGAACCAAGUAAUCAAAAGAUAUAGCAUGGUGUGUAGUUGUCUUGUGAUAAUAUCUACCUACUUACACACACAAAGAAAUCUUCACUGAAUCUUCCAAGCUAUGAAACUGGUGCAGCCACAGCUGAAAGCCACACGACCGUCAAUUCACAGUCCUUUGUUGUUCACAGUGUGAAUUCUGCCUGAGCACCAGCAGUUAUUUAAAGAAUGUUUACAUGAUAACUUUUGUGUGAACUAUAUUUUUUAAAAACAUAAUAAACAGUGAGUCAAUUUAACUACAGCUGUUCAACUAGCACAAAGAGAAACCAACCUUUUUCUAGUUCCUUUCUGUGUCUGUGGUUCAAAUAGGAACGAUCUUCUGCCUUCAGUGCAGCUUUCCCUAAGACAAGUGGAACUGCUUUGUUUCAGAAUGGUUAUGUAUCUCAUACAAGGAGAUGGGAUCUUUAAAUUGUUUUUCUCUCGUUAAGGUAAAUUUUAUCUACUGCAUUGUGAUUUAUCCAAACUGAUAAUUCACUUAUCACAAAACACUCUGGUUUGUUUCUGCAGGGUUGGUCCAAGCUCUGGGUUACCUUGAAUUAAGUUAUAGUAGUAAAAAUCUGCUUCUUACUGGAAUGUUUGCUGUCAAACAUACAGUUAUUUCAAUUGAAACACAGAACCGAGCACUUCAACACAGAACUCACAAGAAAAGCUCAACUGCCAUGCACCAGAAUCUCAGGUUGGUUGAGGUGGGAACGAACCUCUGGGUCCAUCCACUUCCAGCCAUGCUCAGGCAGGGCCACCCCGGCAGGCUGCCCCUGGAGAAGGUGAGCUCCUGGGCACCUUCAGGCACAACCCAUUUAGUCCCCUGAACCAGCAGCACUGCCAGAUCUCACCCCUUGCUGCACUGAUCUCCAUCUUGUUUGUAGAAGAACGCAUUUUACUAGAUAGAGCUCCAGGGAGCGAUGAAAAAUCAAGGGAAAAAGCCAUCCUUCAACAAUGUGUUACAUACUGUUCUGAUAAACAGAGCCUUUGAAGAGAUUCAUUCUCUCCCCUGUGCACGCAUACACUCCCCUGGACAGUCAGAUAAGUCUGCAAGAAUUUAAGAAAUUUAGGACUAAGCAGUAGCUCUGAGGAAAACUAAGAACAAAAAAACCCGUGCAGCUAGGAAAGUUACGGUUUGUUCCAGAGAACCUGACUCAAUCCAACAGCUCAGACCUGUUUCAAAGGUUAAGUUUAAGACCAAGAAAAAAACCCAGCCCCCAGAAAUCAAAAGGAAACCACAUGCUACAAUGUGUAAUAUGCAGACUGAUAAAGGACACAGCUGAUUACUGCAUUUAAGGUGACAGAUGCAUUAUCUCACUCACAAAUGAAUUGCAAGCUGCAUUAAAUGUUCCCUCACACCUCCCGUUCUUAUUCCUCUGCCUUUGCCUGUCAGCCAGGGCCGCAGGACAACUCUAAUUACACAGCGAACAUUAAAGAGCCCUUCUGUCCUUGCGCUGCUUCAUUUUUGAGGUAGUUCAUUAGGACUGCCUGGAAGUCAUCAAAUUCCAUUCCUCCAGUCACACUAGUACAUUACAUGCCUCUUUUAUAUCUUUUGCCACCAUUACAAGGCUUUAAAAUGUGGAUCACAGAGGGAAGAGCUCUGAAGUCCUCCACAAGGCACACAAAGUGACAGGCACUCAGUUUGGUUGCAGGCAGCUGACUUGGAGAAAAUCAAGUGGAGGGAAAAAAAAAGUUCUGUUGAGCAGAGGGCUUCUCUCCUACUCCUACACUGUGCUAUGGUGAUUUUAAAAUGUGUCUGAAAUAUAAAACAAAAUUGGUUUGGUGGUAGCCAAGCAUGGACACAUGGUUCUCUUGACCUCCCUCUCACCACCUCAGUACAGCAAAUAGGCCCCUCGGCACACACUGCAAAUACAACAAAAUAAAAUUAAAAACCAAAAAAUGUUCUCCCUAUGCAACUGCCCUCACAUGAGGUCCAAACCCUAGCUGUGAAGGCUGUUUGCAGGCAGAAUGCUGUGCUGGCCCUGCUUCCCAGCAAGGCAGCUUUACCUGUGUCAGCAGGGCCACCUGUCCCUUUGUGCUGCACUUCGCAGUGUGCUAAAAGCAGAUGGGGCUGACCUAUGAGCACUGCAGGCUGACGGAAUGCUAUCCUGCUGCAGGAAGGGUUUCAAAGCUUGCCUUUAAACCAUAAAGUUUGAGAUUCAGUCUCAGCCUUCCUUGGUUUUGUGUUUAAAUCCCAUAAAUGGCACGUAAAAGCAAAACCCAGCGUACCAGAGAGCAGGGCCAAUUGCUGUCUGGAUAAUGUGUUGCAGUCAGCUGUGUAAGGCAUGGAAAUCAAACAGAACCUGCUGAGCUGUACAGCUGUGAAUGAAGUCGGGUCUCCCACCCCUCUGUCCCAGCUGAGCAGCAGGCAUUGGGUCACACUGCUUUAUGGCCACGUCUGCUGUCUCCUCGUGUGCUGGUGUGAGGCGUGAAGUGCAGUAAGCCUGUCCUGUUGUAGAGGUGUAAAUGUGAAGCUGGCUGUACAGUGCUGCUACAAUAGCCACACAUCAAUAGUGAAUGUAAAUGGAGUAUGUAAUAUGGUGAAAAUUGACACGUUUUUCUUUUCAAAUGUGUUGUAAACUUUGUACAGUAAAAAUUUUUUUUAAAUAUUUUCUAUCAGAGUGUCUUCCAGAAUUCCUAUUAAAUUAAUUAAAGAUUGUUAGUAUUAACAACUGUUUCUGUAUUAGUUUAUGCAACCAGCAAGGAAAAAAAAAGUGCACAUUAUGCUAAUGAAAUCCUGGAUACAUAGGAAUCUUUUCAGCAAAUAAAUCUUUGCUCUGAAUAAA